rnacentral:rRNA from 1 species
AGUGAACGCUGGCGGUAGGCCUAACACAUGCAAGUCGAACGGCAGCACAGUAAGAGCUUGCUCUUACGGGUGGCGAGUGGCGGACGGGUGAGGAAUACAUCGGAAUCUACUUUUUCGUGGGGGAUAACGUAGGGAAACUUACGCUAAUACCGCAUACGACCUACGGGUGAAAGCAGGGGAUCUUCGGACCUUGCGCGAUUGAAUGAGCCGAUGUCGGAUUAGCUAGUUGGCGGGGUAAAGGCCCACCAAGGCGACGAUCCGUAGCUGGUCUGAGAGACUGAUCAGCCGCACUGGAACUGGGACACGGUCCAGACUCCUACGGGAGGCAGCAGUGGGGAAUAUUGGACAAUGGGCGCAAGCCUGAUCCAGCCAUACCGCGUGGGUGAAGAAGGCCUUCGGGUUGUAAAGCCCUUUUGUUGGGAAAGAAAAGCAGCAGGUUAAUACCCCGCUGUUCUGACGGUACCCAAAGAAUAAGCACCGGCUAACUUCGUG